rnacentral:tRNA from 1 species
GUCCUCGUGGCAUAAUGGAUAUUGCAGUUCCCUCCUAAGGAACAGAUUACAGGUUCGAUUCCUGUCGAGGACGCCA